rnacentral:rRNA from 1 species
UACGUAGGGGGCGAGCGUUGUUCGGAAUUACUGGGCGUAAAGGGCGCGUAGGCGGCCUUCUAAGUCGAACGUGAAAUCCCCGGGCUCAACCCGGGAACUGCGUCCGAUACUGGGAGGCUUGAAUCCGGGAGAGGGAUGUGGAAUUCCAGGUGUAGCGGUGAAAUGCGUAGAUAUCUGGAGGAAUACCGAUGGCGAAGGCAGGUCUCUGGGCUAUAACUGACGCUCAUGCACGAAAGCGUGGGGAGCAAACAGG